GACGAGCCACCCCAAACGUUAUUCGGAAUUACUGGGCGUAAAGAGCGCGCAGGCGGUCGUUCAAGUCGCGUGUGAAAGCCCCCCGGCUCAACUGGGGAGGGUCACGCGAUACUGAUCGACUCGAAGGCAGGAGAGGGAAGUGGAAUUCCCGGUGUAGUGGUGAAAUGCGUAGAUAUCGGGAGGAACACCAGUGGCGAAGGCGACUUCCUGGCCUGUUCUUGACGCUGAGGCGCGAAAGCUAGGGGAGCAAACGGG
rnacentral:rRNA from 1 species